GCGAGCUGGGUUUAGAACGUCGUGAGACAGUUCGGUCCCUAUCUGUCGUGGGCGCUGGAGAACUGAGGGGGGCUGCUCCUAGUACGAGAGGACCGGAGUGGACGCAUCACUGGUGUUCGGGUUGUCAUGCCAAUGGCACUGCCCGGUAGCUAAAUGCGGAAGAGAUAAGUGCUGAAAGCAUCUAAGCACGAAACUUGCCCCGAGAUGAGUUCUCCCUGAGACUUAGAGUCUCCUGAAGGAACGUUGAAGACGACGACGUUGAUAGGCCGGGUGUGUAAGCGCAGCGAUGCGUUGAGCUAACCGGUACUAAUGAACCGUGAGGCUUAACCUUACAACGCCGAAG
rnacentral:rRNA from 1 species